rnacentral:rRNA from 1 species
UCUAGGCGUCGACCGGCGCACGGGUGAGUAACGCGUAUCCAACCUGCCCAUCACUUGGGGAUAACCUUGCGAAAGUAAGACUAAUACCCAAUGAGGUCUCUAGAAGACAUCUGAAAGAGAUUAAAGAUUUAUCGGUGAUGGAUGGGGAUGCGUCUGAUUAGCUUGUUGGCGGGGUAACGGCCCACCAAGGCGACGAUCAGUAGGGGUUCUGAGAGGAAGGUCCCCCACAUUGGAACUGAGACACGGUCCAAACUCCUACGGGAGGCAGCAGUGAGGAAUAUUGGUCAAUGGACGAGAGUCUGAACCAGCCAAGUAGCGUGCAGGAAGACGGCCCUAUGGGUUGUAAACUGCUUUUAUAAGGGAAUAAAGUGAGUCUCGUGAGACUUUUUGCAUGUACCUUAUGAAUAAGGACCGGCUAAUUCCGUGCCAGCAGCCGCGGUAAUACGGAAGGUCCGGGCGUUAUCCGGAUUUAUUGGGUUUAAAGGGAGCGUAGGCCGGAGAUUAAGCGUGUUGUGAAAUGUAGACGCUCAACGUCUGCACUGCAGCGCGAACUGGUUUCCUUGAGUACGCACAAAGUGGGCGGAAUUCGUGGUGUAGCGGUGAAAUGCUUAGAUAUCACGAAGAACUCCGAUUGCGAAGGCAGCUCACUGGAGCGCAACUGACGCUGAAGCUCGAAAGUGCGGGUAUCGAACAGGAUUAGAUACCCUGGUAGUCCGCACGGUAAACGAUGGAUGCCCGCUGUUGGUCUGAAUAGGUCAGCGGCCAAGCGAAAGCAUUAAGCAUCCCACCUGGGGAGUACGCCGGCAACGGUGCAACUCAAAGGAAUUGACGG